rnacentral:misc_RNA from 1 species
AAGUCGUAACAAGGUUUCCGUAGGUGAACCUGCGGAAGGAUCAUUACAUUCAGUAGCUUGCUGCUGUUAGGGAGGCCGGUCAGUCUGUAUAGUAUCACUACUGAUGAGCAGCACGGCCUUCUGUCUGUACCCUUGUCUUUUGCGCACUCAUGUUUCCUCGGCUGGGUUUACGCCCGCCGGCUGGACAACUCUAUAACCUUUUUAAUUUUCAAUCAGCGUCUGAAAAACCUAAUAAUUACAACUUUCAACAACGGAUCUCUUGGUUCUG